AUGAAGAUCCGUAUAGAAUUCGCACGCUCCACCAAUGAUUUGUAAUUGAAAGUGAUAAACCAUGGAAAGGUUCCUUCUUAUCUCUAUAAAAUGAAGCUCAAACCAGCAGCUGUAUUGCACCUCCCAGUUAGGUCUCUUGCUCAAAAGACCACGUUCUUCUCCCUCCCUUCUUCCGCUUUGACAAAAUAAAGAAAUCUAGAACAAGUCAACAAAUAUAUAUGAUCGAGGAUCGCGGAUGUGUUGAUGUGUUUUGAUAUGGGUGAGUGGAUUUCAUGCUAUGCUUGUCAAGUGAGCAGUACCUUUGCAAAUAAUCUUAGUUUCGUUGUCUGUUCGACCUGAAACCUAAGGUAAUUAAAGGUUAGGCAUAGUACCCUUGAAAACCCUAAUUAGAAAGUAAUCAUGUUUUUUCUCUUUCUAAAUUAAUCAACUUGAUUGAUCAUCUAAGAAGUUAAACAAGGCAGCUUAUUAGUAGAUAACUAGCUAUUUAUUCUGUGUCAUCUUGGAGUAUGACCUAGUAGUUGAUCGAGAUCGACUGCAGUAACCUAUAAAUUUAUUGAGUUAUGCAUAAAACAGUCAUUAAACUAGAACGGAAAAAAAAAGCAAAAACUCCCAAGCUAAUCCAGUUUAUAUAUAUGCGUUUAUCAGAUUCAUUUGGGAAGUGGUUUAGGUAUCUUUUGGCUUUCCUUCUUUUCCUUUUGAAAUAUGAAGAAGAAAGAAAUUGAAAGAAAUAGUAAUAGGCUGGCUAUAAGUUGCGAAGUACCACUUUUGUGGUAAUUUAACAUCAUAAUUUUGAUAAUCGUUGGAAUUUUACCCUAGUUAUUGCGGCUGCGGCCACCAACUUUCUAUUUUCAGGUGUAUGUGGGUUAUACUAAUUGAAUUGGAUUUGAAACUAAUCUAGUUACCAAAUUAGAUAAAGCUACUUAUUACACUAAAGUAGUAUUUCCUUGGUUUCGAACUGUAGAAUGUAAUUAGCAUGAGCCGUAUAAGCAAGUCCUUAAUUAAUUAGAAAAAUAAUGUGGUUUAGGGUUUACCUAGUGGUGACUAGCUAGCCUGCUACCAUAGAAUGUUGAUAGGUCGAAGAGACAGCGAGCCUGAGGAAUAAGCAAGAGACUGUUCAUUUGACAAGGGUUUGCAUGGAAUUCAACAUCUUGAUUCUUGACCUUAUGUUUGCAUAUGAAGUUUAUUAGGAAGCGGAUCAACUUUCAUCAGAAAGGCUCAACUCACAGUGAAGGGACGAUGGAGGAUCAUGAUCAGUUGCUACUUAGAGGCUCGAUUUGAUACAAAUGCCAAGAUUUGGAGCAAACAGCGAAGAGUCAACGGUUCACUACUAUAUAAUUACAUUGACAUUAUUUCCCAGCUUGCAUUAUAUAUUACUUGCAUAACACAAUAAAUAUUGUGGAGUUUGUAUCAUAAAAUGUCUCGAUGUAAUUAGACAUGAAACAACUAAACAUAAGUCAUUCGAUUUUGUUAAUAUUCCAAUGUGAAAUUCUUGUAUUUUUAUUUUGUUACCAGUAUAUAAUGUGAAAUUCAUAAACCUUUUUUAUGCUA
rnacentral:sRNA from 1 species